rnacentral:misc_RNA from 1 species
GUAGGUGAACCUGCGGAAGGAUCAUUAAUGAAUUUGUCCUUUGGACAUUCUCUCAUACACUUGUGAACUUACACUGUUGCUUGGUGGAUGUGGUCCAGAGAUGGGCCUGCCACCGAGAUUUUUUCACUCAUUCUUAUGUCUGAACAAAAAAAUAAAAAUAAAAUAAAACUUUCAACAAUGGAUCUCUUGGCUCUGGCAUCGAUGAAGAACGCAGCAUCUGACUGACUGGAAGCUUGUCUAUCUCGUAUGC